GACGAACGCUGGCGGCGUGCUUAACACAUGCAAGUCGAACGAAGUGGCGAACGGGUGAGUAACGCGUAAUCAACCUGCACUUCCGAGGGGGACAACAGUUGGAAACGACUGCUAAUACGGCAUACGGAAGGCGGGGAUUGCGUGUGAUUUGCUAGUUGGAGGGGUAACGGCCCACCAAGGCGAGGCUCAGUAGCCGGUCUGAGAGGAUGAACGGCCACAAUGGGACUGAGACACCGCCCAGACUCCCACGGGAGGCAGCAGUGGGGAAUCUUCCGCAAUGGACGAAAGUCUGACGGAGGAACGCCGCGGGAGUGAUGACGGCCUUCGGGUUGUAAAGCUCUGUUAAUCGGGACGCGGUACCGGAAUAGAAAGCCACGGCUAACUACGUGCCAGCCGCCGCGAUAAUAC
rnacentral:rRNA from 1 species